rnacentral:rRNA from 1 species
AUACGGAGGGUGCAAGCGUUGUUCGGAAUCACUGGGCGUAAAGGGCGCGCAGGCGGUUUGGUAAGUCAGAUGUGAAAGCCCACGGAUCAACCGUGGAAGUGCAUUUGAAACUGCCAGACUUGAGUACCAGAGGGGAAAGUGGAAUUCCCGGUGUAGAGGUGAAAUUCGUAGAUAUCGGGAGGAAUACCGGUGGCGAAGGCGACUUUCUGGCUGGAUACUGACGCUGAGGCGCGAAAGCGUGGGGAGCAAACAGGAUUAGAAACCCUUGUAGUCC